rnacentral:rRNA from 1 species
UACGUAGGGACCAAGCGUUGUCCGGAAUUAUUGGGCGUAAAGAGCUCGUAGGCGGUCUGUCACGUCUGCUGUGAAAACUCGGGGCUUAACCCCGGGCCUGCAGUGGGUACGGGCAGACUAGAGUGCGGUAGGGGAGACUGGAAUUCCUGGUGUAGCGGUGAAAUGCGCAGAUAUCAGGAGGAACACCGGUGGCGAAGGCGGGUCUCUGGGCCGUAACUGACGCUGAGGAGCGAAAGCGUGGGGAGCGAACAGG